GGAAAGGUGGCCGAGUGGUUUAAGGCGGUGGACUGUAAAUCCAUUGUUUAAUGACAACGCAGGUUCGAAUCCUGCCUUUUCCA
rnacentral:tRNA from 1 species